AAAUUCCCCUCUCGAAUUGAGUCCCAAUUUCUCUAAAAUGUCCAUAAAUUUUUCUAUCGAUUCGCUAUUUUCCAUCAUCCAGACUCCAAUGCAGUCCAUUGAAAUGUCCUCAAACGCCAAGUUAUUAGAAUUUAGUUCUUUCCUACAAGAUGAACACAUUUCUUUCUCAGAUGCGAAUUUAAUCAUCUUCCGUUUGAUCACGGCGUCUCGAAUGACUUGUAAAUUGUUCAGGUUAAACGAGACAUGUUCCAACCCUGAGCAAACUCCGGACCUGGAAAACAUCAAAAGCUUGACACGAUCGGGAAGGAUAUCAUCACUGACGGAACUCUGAAGAUAAGGGAGGAUAAGGCAGCGUCUAAUGGCAAAGAGGUGGACCGACAUUUUUAUCGAGGGCAGUAAUAAAAGGAGAAAUUCCAAAAUGAAAAACUCAUGAACAUCUCGGGCUCAGGGGCCAUUACAAGAUACUGAUAUUAUCAAGACGCCACUGCAAGGCAGCAUCUCCUGGGCAUCGACAUAUUUGUAACCUAUUUGGGCACGUUGGCUAUUGGUCUCAGUUUUCUUGAAUUUGUUCUCCCUGCUCAGGAGGUCCUAUUCAUUUGUCGCAUCAGGGUCAGGUGUCAACAAAGACUACUCGAGCAAACGCAGUCCAUUAAAACUAGUGGUAGUUCGCAGAAGAUACUGAUAUUAUCGAGCCUCCGUCUUUCGAGCUUGAGAAGACGAUGCUCCAAAAUUGUACCCACUUUUACAU